GGGUGAGCGGCGGACGGGUGAGUAACGCGUGGGAAUAUGCCCUUCUCUAAGGAAUAGCCUCUGGAAACGGAGAGUAAUACCUUAUACGCCCUUUGGGGGAAAGAUUUAUCGGAGAAGGAUUAGCCCGCGUUAGAUUAGGUAGUUGGUGGGGUAAUGGCCUACCAAGCCUACGAUCCAUAGCUGGUUUGAGAGGAUGAUCAGCCACACUGGGACUGAGACACGGCCCAGGCUCCUACGGGAGGCAGCAGUAGGGAAUCUUAGACAAUGGGGGCAACCCUGAUCUAGCCAUGCCGCGUGUGUGAUGAAGGCCCUAGGGUCGUAAAGCACUUUCGCCAGAGAUGAUAAUGACAGUAUCUGGUAAAGAAACCCCGGCUAACUCCGUGCCAGCAGCCGCGGUAAUACGGAGGGGGUUAGCGUUGUUCGGAAUUACUGGGCGUAAAGCGCACGUAGGCGGAUUAGUAAGUUAGAGGUGAAAUCCCAGGGCUCAACCCUGGAACUGCCUUUAAUACUGCUAGUCUUGAGUUCGAGAGAGGUAAGUGGAAUUCCGAGUGUAGAGGUGAAAUUCGUAGAUAUUCGGAGGAACACCAGUGGCGAAGGCGGCUUACUGGCCCGAUACUGACGCUGAGGUGCGAAAGUGUGGGGAGCAAACAGGAUUAGAUACCCUGGUAGUCCACACCGUAAACGAUGAAUGCCAGACGUCAGCAAGUAUACUUGUUGGUGUCACACCUAACGGAUUAAGCAUUCCGCCUGGG
rnacentral:rRNA from 1 species